rnacentral:snoRNA from 1 species
GUCGACAAUACUUCAGAGAAUCAUUUCUAUAGUAUUCGACCCUCUCUUGGUUCCCUAAAGGAGCCACAGAUCCCACCCUGGUUGAUGAUUGAUAUCCUCGACACCCUAGAGUGAAGAAACUCUGGUUGCCCUCGCAUCCUGUGCAAGCAGGACGGUUGUGCCUUCGUGGCGCAGCUGUAUAGAGGGCGUUGAUGAUCUCGUCCCCAUUCGCGGUCUUGCCUUCGCGGCGCGCGGAUGGGGUGGGUGUCGAUGGACGUCUGACAGGC